rnacentral:rRNA from 1 species
AUUGAACGCUGGCGGCAUGCUUUACACAUGCAAGUCGAACGGUAACAGGCCGCAAGGUGCUGACGAGUGGCGAACGGGUGAGUAAUGCAUCGGAACGUGCCCAGUCGUGGGGGAUAACGCAGCGAAAGCUGCGCUAAUACCGCAUACGAUCUGUGGAUGAGAGCGGGGGACCGUAAGGCCUCGCGCGAUUGGAGCGGCCGAUGUCAGAUUAGGUAGUUGGUGGGGUAAAGGCCCACCAAGCCAACGAUCUGUAGCUGGUCUGAGAGGACGACCAGCCACACUGGGACUGAGACACGGCCCAGACUCCUACGGGAGGCAGCAGUGGGGAAUUUUGGACAAUGGGCGCAAGCCUGAUCCAGCAAUGCCGCGUGCAGGAAGAAGGCCUUCGGGUUGUAAACUGCUUUUGUACGGAACGAAAAGGCUCUGGUUAAUACCUGGGGCUCAUGACGGUACCGUAAGAAUAAGCACCGGCUAACUACGUGCCAGCAGCCGCGGUAAAAC